rnacentral:rRNA from 1 species
AGCAAUACCUGAGUAAAGCGGCGCACGGGUGAGUAACACGUGGGUAAUCUGCCCUGGAGUGGGGAAUAACACCGGGAAACCGGUGCUAAUACCGCAUACGAUCACGAUGUCUGCGGAUGUUGUGAUGAAAGGAGCAAUUCGCUCCAGGAGGAGCCCGCGGCUGAUUAGCUAGUUGGUGAGGUAAUGGCUCACCAAGGCAUCGAUCAGUAGCCGGUCUGAGAGGACGGUCGGCCACACUGGAACUGAGACACGGUCCAGACUCCUACGGGAGGCAGCAGUGGGGAAUUUUUGGCAAUGGGCGAAAGCCUGACCAAGCAACGCCGCGUGGGUGAUGAAGUAUCUCGGUACGUAAAACCCUUUCGACGGGGAAGAAACCGCAAGGUUGACGGUACCCGUAGAAGAAGCCCCGGCUAACUCCGUGCCAGCAGCCGCGGUAAUACGGGGGGGGCAAGCGUUGUUCGGAAUUACUGGGCGUAAAGGGUGCGUAGGUGGCUUGCUAAGUUGGAUGUGAAAACUCUGGGCUUAACCCAGAGCCUGCAUUCAAAACUGACAAGCUAGAGUUCUGGAGGGGGUAGCGGAAUUCCUGGUGUAGCGGUGAAAUGCGUAGAUAUCAGGAGGAACACCGGUGGCGAAGGCGGCUACCUGGACAGAAACUGACACUGAGGCACGAAAGCUAGGGGAGCAAACAGGAUUAGAUACCCUGGUAGUCCUAGCCCUAAACGAUGGAUACUUGCUGUG